rnacentral:misc_RNA from 1 species
UUUCCGUAGGUGAAUCUGCGGAAGGAUCAUUAAUGAGUUGUCAUGGGGUUCGAUGCUGGCAGCCAAUUUUUGGAUGCAUGUGCUUGCCCUAACAAUCAUCUUCCAAACACCUGUGCACAUUUUUGAGGGAGUCUUGAGUUGGUUGCCGCUCUUGGGUGAUUUUCUCACAUUCCCUUAAAUCAUUAUACGCUAUUAACAAUGUUGAACGUGCUCUGUGCCGCAAGGCUAUUAAUAUAAUACAACUUUUAACAACGGAUCUCUUGGCUCUC